GGAAGCAUGGUGACGACAUGUGGAGCUGACGAAUACUAAUCGAUCGAAGACUUAAUCAA
rnacentral:rRNA from 1 species